AAAUAAUUGCUAAAUUAAUCCCCAUAUUCUAAGUCUUCCCUUUCUGAGGAUUUCAUCAUAGGAUGACAGAAUAUUUGUUUUAACAAGAUAAAGGUGACAAAUAACUUAAAAUGGGGGAGAAAACCUGCCUAAUUUGGAAAAAGAAUGUCAGGUAUAAGUUGUUAAUGAUCAGCAGUCAGCUGUAGAGCUUGAUAGACACUUAGCUGAGCCAAUCCUCAGUCCUUCCAUUGGCCCUUGUGACUGUAUCCUAACCCAUUUUCCUCCAUAGCAUUUCCUUUCCCCAGGAUCCUCUCACAGAAUUCACCUAUAGAUUGCAAUUCUCUCUCACCAUGCUAAGAUUAUCUUUCUUACUACCAAUUCUUUCUAGGCUUCAUGAUUUCUUUCCUAACGUCUUCUGAUUCGACUUUGAGACAACUCAGCACUGUGGAAUCUUUGCUGCAACUUCUCCAAUGAACAGAUGUUCCUUUCCAUCCUCUUAACAAGAUUCCGUAUCUUGGGGGCUCCUUCAGAUUUCUCCUAAAGAUGUCUCCUUGAGCAUUACUUCAGAUUCUGGGCUGCAGGAAAAUCUGGUCCAUGUUUUUGGCUCCUAAUAAACGUCUUGAGGUGUCCACCCUAGAAAAUCGGAACAAGUGGUUGCUGGCAAGCAAAGCAUGUGAUGGUGUCCCAGUUGGGUUCAGAUGGCUCAGAAGAUGUAUUUGGUUCAAGAUUGGAUGGGGAGUGGCAGACCUCCACUUUGGCCAGUGAGGUGAGUGGCUGUGGCAGACUGGAUGAUGGGUCCAAACCCUUCUGAUCAGACUGAUCCUUGAGGUGCUAGAAGUCUUGAAUAGGAAAUCAAGGAAUCAAGAUCUCAGAGGCUAAGCUCUGCGCCUUACUUACAGGGAUCUUAACCUUUUGUCCUGAAAUUUCCCAACAAGGAGCAUUUACUAAACAAGAAU
rnacentral:lncRNA from 1 species